rnacentral:rRNA from 1 species
AUGCACGCUGGCGGCGUGCCUCAUCCCUUCCAGUCGCGCGAACAGACGAGGAGCUUGCUCCUCUUACGUUUUCGGCGGCCUGUUUAUUAACCCGUGGUUAACCUACCUAUAAUUCUUGGUUUACUUCGGGAAACCGGUUCUAAUUCCGGUUAAUUUAUUUAACCUCUUGGUUCAAUAGUUAACUUCGGUUUUGCUGUCACUUUUAUAUUGAUCCGCGCCGCCUUAGCUAGUUGGUAAGGUAACGGCUUACCAAGGCAACGAUGCGUAGCCGAACUGAUAGGGUGAUCGGCAACACUGGAACUGAGACACGGUCCAGAGUCCUACGGGAGGCAGCAGUAGGGAAUCUUCCGCAAGGGGCGAAAGCCUGACGGAGCAACGCCGCGUGAGUGAUGAAGGUCUUCGGAUCGUAAAACUCUGUUAUUAGGGAAGAACAAAUGUGUAAGUAACUAUGCACGUCUUGACGGUACCUAAUCAGAAAGCCACGGCUAACUACGUG